ACGGAAGGCAGCAGUGGGGAAUAUUGCACAAUGGGGGAAACCCUGAUGCAGCGACGCCGCGUGAGUGAAGAAGUAUUUCGGUAUGUAAAGCUCUAUCAGCAGGAAAGAAAAUGACGGUACCUGACUAAGAAGCCCCGGCUAACUACGUGCCAGCAGCCGCGGUAAUACGUAGGGGGCAAGCGUUAUCCGGAUUUACUGGGUGUAAAGGGAGCGUAGACGGCUUUGCAAGUCUGAAGUGAAAGCCCGGGGCUCAACCCCGGAACUGCUUUGGAAACUGUAGAGCUAGAGUGCAGGAGAGGUAAGUGGAAUUCCUAGUGUAGCGGUGAAAUGCGUAGAUAUUAGGAGGAACACCAGUGGCGAAGGCGGCUCACUGGACUGUAACUGACGUUGAGGCUCGAAGGCGUGGGGAGCAAACAGGAUUAGAUACCCUGGUA
rnacentral:rRNA from 1 species